GUGCCAGCAGCCGCGGUAAUACGUAGGGUGCGAGCGUUGUCCGGAUUUAUUGGGCGUAAAGAGCUUGUAGGUGGCUCGUUGCGUCGGGAGUGAAAACCCGCGGCUCAACCGCGGGCCUGCUUCCGAUACGGGCGAGCUAGAGUUCGGCAGGGGAGACUGGAAUUCCUGGUGUAGCGGUGGAAUGCGCAGAUAUCAGGAGGAACACCGGUGGCGAAGGCGGGUCUCUGGGCCGAUACUGACACUGAGAAGCGAAAGCGUGGGGAGCGAACAGGAUUAGAUACCCUGGUAGUCC
rnacentral:rRNA from 1 species